CAGUCCUUGCUCAAAAGGGAGUGAGAUAUCAUGAGCCUGAGCAUUGGAAAUUUGGUGAGGAUGGAAACAAAUAUUUUCGACAUGCAACAGGGCAGUUAUAUGCCAUUUCAAAAGAUUUAGCUACUUAUAUAUCUUUAAAUCAGCAUGUUCUACACAAGUAUGUUAAUGAGGAUGUCUCAUUGGGUUCAUGGCUCAUUGGAUUGGAUGUGGAACAUAUAGAUGAUAGAAGAUUGUGUUGUGGAACUCCGCCAGAUUGUGAGUGGAAAGCUCAAGCAGGCAACAUUUGUGUUGCUUCCUUUGAUUGGAGCUGCAGCGGGAUAUGCAGGUCCGUAGAUAGGAUUAUGGAGGUUCAUCGACGUUGUGGGGAAGGCGAGAAUGCUUUGUGGAAUGCAUCCUUUUGACAAAAUCCAUCAUUUCUCCAAUCUCUGGAGGCUCCAAAAAUGGUUACACGAACACUCGAAAAAACAAGAUGUAUCCGAGAAUUCUCAGAAACAUUAUAUAAACUGUAUCAAUGGGAGAGGGAAGAGAGGUUGCCACUAUAUCUGCUCCAAAUAUUAUUAGCUAAGGAGAGGGAUAGUAUUGUAGCAACCAAUAUGUGAAGCAAAAAGUGUAAAGAGUCAUUCUUUUUAGAUGCUUAGAUUAUAAUAAUUUGUUAGUCUUUGUGAGAGGAAACUAUCAAGUGUAAUACUUUUGUUGCU
rnacentral:misc_RNA from 1 species